rnacentral:sRNA from 1 species
UGACAUACGUACCUCUUGAUUUUGACGAC